GGGGAAUAUUGGACAAUGGGCGCAAGCCUGAUCCAGCAAUGCCGCGUGGGUGAAGAAGGCCUUCGGGUUGUAAAGCCCUUUUGUACGGAAAGAAAUCCUGUCGGUUAAUACCCGGCGGGGAUGACGGUACCGUAAGAAUAAGCACCGGCUAACUUCGUGCCAGCAGCUGCGGUAAUACGAAGGGUGCAAGCGUUAAUCGGAAUUACUGGGCGUAAAGCGUGCGUAGGUGGUUGUUUAAGUCUGUCGUGAAAGCCCUGGGCUCAACCUGGGAAUGGCGAUGGAUACUGGGCGACUGGAGUGCGGUAGAGGAUGGCGGAAUUCCCGGUGUAGCGGUGAAAUGCGUAGAGAUCGGGAGGAACAUCCGUGGCGAAGGCGGCCAUCUGGACCAGCACUGACACUGAGGCACGAAAGCGUGGGGAGCAAAC
rnacentral:rRNA from 1 species